rnacentral:rRNA from 1 species
GUGGGGAAUAUUGGACAAUGGGCGAAAGCCUGAUCCAGCAAUGCCGCGUGAGUGAUGAAGGCCUUAGGGUUGUAAAGCUCUUUUACCAGGGAUGAUAAUGACAGUACCUGGAGAAUAAGCUCCGGCUAACUCCGUGCCAGCAGCCGCGGUAAUACGGAGGGAGCUAGCGUUGUUCGGAAUUACUGGGCGUAAAGCGCACGUAGGCGGUUACUCAAGUCAGAGGUGAAAGCCCGGGGCUCAACCCCGGAACUGCCUUUGAAACUAGGUAACUAGAAUAUUGGAGAGGUCAGUGGAAUUCCGAGUGUAGAGGUGAAAUUCGUAGAUAUUCGGAAGAACACCAGUGGCGAAGGCGACUGACUGGACAAGUAUUGACGCUGAGGUGCGAAAGCGUGGGGAGCAAACAGGAUUAGAAACCCGUGUAGUCC